rnacentral:rRNA from 1 species
CCUACGGGGGGCAGCAGUGAGGAAUAUUGGUCAAUGGGCGCGAGCCUGAACCAGCCAAGUAGCGUGAAGGAUGACUGCCCUACGGGUUGUAAACUUCUUUUAUAAAGGAAUAAAGUGAGGCACGUGUGCCUUUUUGUAUGUACUUUAUGAAUAAGGAUCGGCUAACUCCGUGCCAGCAGCCGCGGUAAUACGGAGGAUCCGAGCGUUAUCCGGAUUUAUUGGGUUUAAAGGGAGCGUAGAGGGGUUGUUAAGUCAGUUGUGAAAGUUUGGGGCUCAACCGGAAAAUUGCAAUUGAUACUGGCAGUCUUGAGUACAGUUGAGGGAGGCAGAAUUCGUGGUGUAGCGGUGAAAUGCUUAGAGAUCUCGAAGAAUUCCGAUUGCGAAGGCAGCUGACUAAACGGCCACUGACAUUGA